AUCUGCUACUGCUAAUCUAUCUAUUACUGCUAAUCUAUUACUGCUGUCAAUCUAUCUAUCACUGCUAAUCUAUUACUGUCAAUCUAUCUACUGCUGUUAAUCUAUCUAUCACUGUUAAUCUAUCACUGCUAAUCUAUCACUGCUAAUCUAUUGCUGUUAAUCUACCACUGUCAAUCUAUCUACCACUGUCAAUCUAUCUAUCACUGCUAAUCUAUUGCUGCUAAUCUAUCACUGUCAAUCUAUCUACCACUGUCAAUCUAUCUAUCACUGCUAAUCUAUCACUGCUAAUCUAUCACUGCUAAUCUAUUGCUGCUAAUCUAUUACUGUCAAUCUAUCUACUGCUGUCAAUCUAUCUACCACUAUCAAUCUAUCUAUCACUGUCAAUCUAUAUAGAAUAAAUUAUAGUCUCAUUUGAUUCUAUUUUAUAAAAUAAGAUUAAAUGAAAUCAGAAUCAUUAAUUUAUUAGUAAAAUAUAAUCUGAGACUAGAUUUAUAAUAUAAACAGUGUAAAAUAAUUAAUUUACUAAACACUAUA
rnacentral:sRNA from 2 species